CUGCUGCUGACCUGAUUUUCCAAAGUCUGCCCCUCCCAGCUUAGCACCCACCCCAUGUGAUCCAGCCUCCCUAAAUAAAGUUGUAUUAGCUGUGAGAGCUGAGCUUGUGUGGAUCACUCCCAGCCUGCAGCAUAACUCCCAGUCUGAGGAUCUCAGCAUCCCAUUCACUAAUCUGUGUGGAGCAGCCAAGUCUCUGCAGGAGGAAUCUGCCCCAGUAACAGGCACACAGCAGAGGUCUGUGAAACGACUUAAGCUUUUUCAUACAAGCAGUGAGAAGCCAUUUUAAGGAUGGCCAACCAGUUUGUGACCUAAUUGGACACCUUGGCUUCUGAAAUUAGCAUUUUUUUUGUUUCAAGCCAACUUAUCACGAGACAACAGUCUUCAGCUACCAUACCUUCAUUUUCACGGACAUUGUAUCUUUAUAAAGGCCCUGAGCCAAGUCACACUAAUGGUUGUUGCAGUUCCUUUAGCUCAUGGAUAUGUUCCUUCCUUCUCUGUUAAACUACACUUUUCUUCAGCUGAUGACAUUUUUUUAUUAAAGUUUGAAGACCAUUUUGCUUUAUUGUGAUGGUGCUAAGUACAAUUUCAUAUUGUAUACUACAUAAAGAGUCUUCUUUGACUGGACAGUAGACUACCACACUGGGCAUCGCAAGGAUUUUCAAAAUAUGGAAAAGAUGUAAGAUUAUAGCCCAAAUAUUCCAAAGAUUAUAGAAUCUUUUUAAAAGUAUAAAUAUCCAAUGAAGCCGACAUUAGAAUUGCCUCCUUCUCCAAUAUAUCCAACUGAAUUUAAUUCUGCGAUCAAUCAAAAUGUUACAGGUGACACGGACGUGAGGCUUCUAGAGGGAGCUUUGUCAUCCAUUGUUGUCCUGAUCAUGGUGCUCUCUAUCAUUUGCUCCUUGGUGGUGACUUCACUACUGACUUAUUGCUUUCAUAAGUGGAAGCUGCGAGCAAGAAAACUGCAGAGGGCCCAGGAAGAAUAUCAGAAAGACCAAGAGAAGAACAUGUCCCCCUGCACAUCUUAACUGUACAAGCAUCUGGAAACCUAGGCAACGGGGCCAUUAUACUUCUGAAUCUGAAUCGUGAUACCUUACUCAUGCACUAAUUUAAAUUAAUGGAGCACAUCAUCUGUAACAACUUACUUCUGUAGCUUAGGUCCUGUUUACUAAUGAGCCUAACAGUUGCAUUGUAGCACAGUCAAGCAAAUGGACUGUAAUAUACUGUAUAUAGUGCUGCUCAGUAAAUAGGUCUUUUUAUCCAACAAAUUAUGUUUAUCUAUUUAUGAAUGUCAUUUCAGGUUCAGGGAAUCGGGAUUAUACAUGUCUUAUCUGAAAGGAGAAGGAAAGUGGAUGAAUAAGGGGGAAUUUGAGUUUUAAAACUUUAUUUUAUGCAGCUUUUAACUUAUUACAACUUUAUUAUUACACUAUAAAAUAUUCUUAGUUCAGUGAUAUUUAUAAAAUAUAUAUUGCAUGGAAGAUUAUUGCAAUAUUUCAUGGACAAAAUGAGGGACGAUAUAGUAACCAUGAUUUUGAGGUGAGAGCAAAGAGGCAAACUUCCUGUAUGGCUAUUUUCCCAGUGAAUCUUCACUAGUAUUGCACCUGGGGCAAAGCUUGGGCAUCUUAUCUGUUCAAUAAAAUAUAUUGCCUUCAGGUUAGGCUGUGUGCCCUGUCUGUUAUUGAAGAUUCUAUAUUACAAAGUGGGGAGAAGCUUUGCAUAGUGUGCUUGUGUAUGUAUAUUGUAUGCUAUUACAUUUACCUAUAGAUGAUUAGAGAGUUAUUGAUUAAAAUGAAGCAAACCUUCUGCCAGAGUCCCAGUCUCACUGCAGGUCUGACACGUGUCUAUGCAGAGGGUUCUUUUAGUUCUGUAGUGUGUCAAAUGGUUGCAUUUCCUAGUAUGAACAGGUCUCCCUCACUGACCUAUUAUAGGUCAGAAAUUGUACUCCUCAGAGAAGUGUCGGUGCUGUUACAUUUUAUUUCCUGAUGUUUUUAACUCUUCAGAGAUACAUUUUAUUUUCUCUUAAUCUAAUGCUUUGAUUAGUUCACAUGUGUCAGUAUCGGGACAAGUUAAUGUCAGACUUCCAUUUCCCCCUCUCUUCUUGCAUAUAUGAGUACCCUGGGAUUUUCAUGGCUUUCUGUUGAUUAACUGCCAACAAGCCAUUUCCUCUCAUCCAUAUUAAAAUCCUGACGCAUUUGAAAUCUACAGUGUAUUGUACUUGAUACUUGACUACAUCAUAUUUAGCUCUUGUCUCCAACCCCAGCAUUUCAGGAGGCACUAUUCUAUAGGUUUCACCGAUUAUUUGUGGUUAACUCAACCCAUAAAUUAUACAUAUUAAUAUUUAUGCACUUGGCAGUAAAAACUAACUGCACUAGUUUAAAAAAACCAUGGGAAAAUGGUCAUGCUGCAAAGGCAUCAACAAAAUCGGCCCUUUGUUUUAUCACUAUCGGUGCCGGAUUUCUAUAUUCUUCACCCCUUCAAAGGACAGCUGUGCUGGGCAUUGGGGUGACAGGAGAUUUGACAGCUGUUUGAAUGUCCUUCCUUUUCCCCAGUGUGGCUCCCUUGUGCUCAGUAACUAACCGUAUAAGCAUAAGGUGCACCCACAGGCUGUAUUUUGGCCCAUAGGCCACAAGAGUAUAGGGAUGGCCUGUUUCCCCUAAUGAAUGUUGCCCUAUGCCAGGGCCUUUGUGGCCUUUUUACAGAUCCAGGCCUGACUACACUAUCUUGGAACUGAUUGCCUUCAUA